UACAGAGGUCCCAAGCGUUGUUCGGAAUCACUGGGCGUAAAGGGUGCGUAGGCGGCGCGGAAAGUCAGGGGUGAAAUCCCGGAGCUCAACUCCGGAACUGCCUUUGAUACUCCCGCGCUUGAGAACUGGAGGGGAGACCGGAAUUCACGGUGGAGCAGUGAAAUGCGUGGAUAUCGUGAGGAACACUAGUGGCGAAGGCGGGUCUCUGGACAGUAUCUGACGCUGAGGCACGAAGGCCAGGGGAGCGAACGGG
rnacentral:rRNA from 1 species